rnacentral:rRNA from 1 species
CCGCCGCAGUAACACAUGCAAGUCGAGCGAUCUUCUUCGGAAGAGAGCGGCGGACGGGUGAGUAACACGUGGGUAACCUGCCCUGUACACACGGAUAACAUACCGAAAGGUAUGCUAAUACGGGAUAACAUACUUUUAUCGCAUGGUAGAAGUAUCAAAGCUCCGGCGGUACAGGAUGGACCCGCGUCUGAUUAGCUAGUUGGUAAGGUAAUGGCUUACCAAGGCGACGAUCAGUAGCAGACCUGAGAGGGUGAUCGGCCACAUUGGAACUGAGACACGGUCCAAACUCCUACGGGAGGCAGCAGUGGGGAAUAUUGCACAAUGGGCGAAAGCCUGAUGCAGCAACGCCGCGUGAGCGAUGAAGGCCUUCGGGUCGUAAAGCUCUGUCCUCAAGGAAGAUAAUGACGGUACUUGAGGAGGAAGCCCCGGCUAACUACGUGCCAGCAGCCGCAGUAAGAC